rnacentral:tRNA from 1 species
GGGGUUGUGGCUCAGUGGUUGAGCGCUCACCUAGCACAUGCGAGAGACACUGGAUUCAAUCCUCAGCACCACA